UCAUCCUCCUUACCUCGCCAACCACCCGGCCCCGCCGCCCCCACCCUCGCCCUUGUGCAUGAACCGCUCUGCGUCCUCCCCAGAUCACCGCACCGUGUCCUCCCGAAAUCACCGCCGCGUUCCCCUCUUCCCCCAGAUCUCCACCGCCAGCGAUUUGCCCUCCUCCAACAGAGACCCUAGAUCUGAUUGUGCCAUCCUGUUCUUCCUCCCUGCUCCUUCUGCACCUAGGGUUUCUCCGUCAAACCACCUUCUCGCGGACCUGUGCCGCGGACGAGGGGGAGGGAAAGUACCACCUGACCAUGAAUCCAUCGUCUUCGGCUGGGGAGGGAGAGCGACCAAUCAUCUCGUGUCGGGGGCGUUGUGUGAAAAAUAGGUAGACACAAAGGUUAGCUUGAGCUCGAAAUUAACCAUUUGCAACAAUGCGGUUGUCUGACGAUUUCAAUCGACUGAAUUUCCAUCCUUGAAUCACCUCCGAUUUGUUCAUGAGUGGUGUGUUUGGGAUCUGGAAGAAGAGGAAGAGAACACUACCGGAACUCAGAAUUCGGGGCUACUUAUUAGUGAUUAUUUGACUGGAAGAGAAUUUCUCGAUACGGAUGAGCUGAUGUAUGUCCUUGCAGAGCACUUAUUUUAGCCUGUAGUCGGUGUUUCAGGGCCAAAAACAUUAGAAACAAUUAAAUUUUUAGUAGGAACUUAUACCAAUUUUGGUGUAUCUGUGAAAAUUUUCAGUUGGCAGUUACUUAUAUGCAUGCUGGUAAUUUUCAGUUUACUAGCUGAAUGUUACAGACCAUAACGAUUUUUCAGUAUUUGGCUAGUGUUCAUUUUGAACUUUGGUCUUAAGCCGGAGCGGUGCACACAUUAGUACAUGGAAGAGAUUCGGGAGUAGGAAUAAAACACUGGUAUUUUGUAGGCUAUGAUAUUUUUGUUCAUUAGCUCAUAAUUGGGGUUUGAUGUGGUGCUAUAUGGUUGACUUCUUUCUUUGGAAAGAAAUAUAUACAUAUUUUUUGCUCUGUUCUGAAUGUGCAUGUGAUGCCUGGUUGAGGAACAAUCGUUAUGCUUCACUUCUGUGAGGGAUCAUCCGUGUAGGACAUUUUCUAAAGUUGCUCAUUCAUUCAUGUUGGAUGUCACCUCAUUCUGUAGUUUCUAGGUAUCAAAAGUUCAAAACCAGAUUCUGUUUUUGUUAUAAGCUUGCCUGUUAUUGAUUUUGCAUGUCAGCUUGGCAAGUCUGCUGAAUUGAUCCAUUUAGAUAUAAAGAUGAAUGAAGUCACACAAGCUGUUGAGAACCUGAAGAAGGAAUGGAGCCAAGCAGUUACACAGCUUGAAGAGAGCAUUGCUGCAAUUGCAUCCUGUGGGAAAGCAGGUAUAGGUACAGAGGAAGCAAAUCUCUUCCUAGGUUGAAUGGUUCUGCGCAGGAUGCUCUGCAAUUGCUCAAGUCAUUGCAGUUCCGGCUUCGAUCUUCUAGCUCAGCAGCUACCCACAUUUGAGGAGGUGCAGUCCGGCCAGGCAACCCUAGAGUCAUGGGAUGAACAAUACAAGAAGCUGCAUGCUAGCCUAAGGAAUGCUAACUUACAAGCAAAAGAGAACAUUAGAAAAGCUGCUCAAGAAGAGUUCGAGAUGCCCUCGCCACCGACGCUGCAGAGGAGGGCUCUAGCCAUAAGCAGUCAGUUCGCCGAGGAGGAAGAGGGGAGAACGAUAGCGUCUGAGCUAGGGAGUCCAUUGCUUGCUGGCUUACUACCCAUGGAUCUCUCGCUCCUUCUGCCAAACGCUGAUGAUAAAACAUGAAGUUUACAUGGGUGCCUGAAGUUCACCUGAGGAGGCGGAUGGGAGAAUGGGUGUUUGCAGCUGCAAUGUAGGGGGCCAGAUUUAAGAUCCGUUGCAACGCACAGUUGGUAUGCUGACUGAUCUCUGGGGAAUUACAUAUCUCUGGGGAAUUACAUGUCGACUAUCUGGUUUUCGACAAGGGACUAGUUGGCACUUCAAUUGCCAAUAUAUGGCUAGUAGGCAAUUGGAGUGCCGAUUGUCCCAUAUUUAUGUAACUUUCCCAUUUUAAAUAAUAUUUUUAUAAUUUUUCAAUAAAAUAAUAUUAUUUCAAAAAAGAUUCUGCAAUCUUCUGUAACACCUCUAGUCCUCUAUUUUCAUGCGUCAGCAUAGUUCCUGCGCAAAGGAAAGGAAAAAUGAGGUCUACGCCCAUUUUUUGGUUUCCCGUGAAAUCUGGAUAAAUGGAAAACAUUCCCAAGGGCCCUAGCAAUACCAAACCAGAUACCUUUAAAAUCAUGUGUGCAAUCAAUGGCAAACCCAAAAUAUCAGUAAUCGGAUUCUGAAAUAAGCCUUGCCUAAACCUACGAAAUAUUAAUUUCACAAGCCAUUUAAAAUCCUCCUGGUUAGUGCCCUACAGUGCAACAAUUCUUGCUAAGAAAGAAGGAUGCCCAGGAAGGACUGUCUCCUCUCGAACGAGAGACCCAAACGUGCAGUGGAUGCGCAGACUCAUUGACAGCCUCAUCCAUAAUUGCGGGGACAAACAGAGCAAAAUCAUGGAGAGCAACGCAUAUCACCACAUGGAUACCACAUUUUCUAAUUUGGCGUCGGAAAAAAACUCCACCGAACUGAGAAAAUCGUACAACAUGCACCUAAUCGAUCGUGAUUGACAUUCACAUUACAAAAAUGACUACACCCAAAAGGGGAAAUAUAACACAACCACCAUGCAGAUCUCAUAUCAUUCCGCACACGGAAAAACUUCUACUUAUUUAGUAUACGAGGACCUACCAGUUUAUGACAAACAAUCGGUAUCGGUAUAAGAAGUACCUCCCGGUUUGGCUACAAACAGACCGAGCGCGCAGAAGCCCUCCUAUUCACAGUUUGCAUUUUUUACGUACAGUUGCAUUCUAUGGGACAACAAGGAAGGUCAGCCUGUAAAGUCCAUGACGUUCAUCCCUGAUGCCUUCACCAACAAGAUCAAU